rnacentral:rRNA from 1 species
UACGAGGGGGGCAAGCGUUGUUCGGAUUUAUUGGGCGUAAAGGGUGCGUAGGCGGGUCUUUAAGUCAGGGGUGAAAUCCUGGAGCUCAACUCCAGAACUGCCUUUGAUACUGAGGAUCUUGAGUUCGGGAGAGGUGAGUGGAACUGCGAGUGUAGAGGUGAAAUUCGUAGAUAUUCGCAAGAACACCAGUGGCGAAGGCGGCUCACUGGCCCGAUACUGACGCUGAGGCACGAAAGCGUGGGGAGCAAACAGG